UGCCAGCCCCCUCCCCUCCCCGGGGGGUGCGUGUGCAUCCCCCCCCUCCCCUCUUUUCCAUCAUCCUGACCCCCAACCCGGGCUGACCCCCGGGUGGGGGGGAGUGAGGAGGAGGAGGAUGAAGAAGGGGGGGUUGUGGGGGUGCGCAGGCACUUGUGCAGGCGCAGCCCUUUCGCAUCAAGGUGUGCUGCAAUCCGGGCGGGCAAGAGAUUGGCUAUAAGGAGAAGGCUGACGGCUGCAGCAUGAAGCGCAUUAUUACCUUGUGAUUCCAUGACCCUCCUCUAUGCAUCCCUAACUCUCGAAAGCUGAUUCAGCUUUCAGCUAGUGCUCUGGUGAGUCCUCUGCUGCAACAGAACCUCCUAACUGUCCCCGAAAGGCUUGUGCUAUCUUUUGGGGUUUGCUUAUCUGCGAGGUAGUGUCUCAGUCCCAGUGACCAGCAGAGGAAAAAUCAUUGGAUUCUCUAGAUCAGACCUGCUCUUCAGCUGUAGCCACUAAGAAGCUUAAAUAAAUCCCAAUUGCCUCAAAGUGAAGCCAUUUGAACCACCUCAGCAUCAGGCAGCAAGUUCAGAAGAGGUCCAGGAGGCCAGGAAAGACCCUGAGGAAUUCCCCUCUUUGCUGGUCACAGCCAGCGAGGCCAAAUGCUUUGCUAAAGCUGGUAAAAUGGAACCAAAUCAACUGUUCAAUGGAUUUGGUCCCCUUCAACCAGCUGUAGCUGUGCAUUGAUCUCUCAGAUGCACCUUGGAGGAUAAAACACUCGGAUGGGACAGAGACAACUCAAGUAGCAGAAGACAAAUGGCCACGUGAGAGCUGCCAAUAAGGAAAUCUUGAUGACUGGCAUCUGCAGAUCUAUCACCCAGGCUCUGAGCUGGUGGGCUGAGCCCGAGUCAUUAUGUGGUUGCCAGUCAACUCUGCCUUCUGGAGACCCCUGGAGAUUGAUCUCUCUAUCAUCUUCCUCUAUUGAUCUCGGCUGCAAAGUCAGGAGGGUGCAGUUCAGCUGUAGCUUCUGUGCAUUCCCUUUUGUAUUUGCUCAUGCCCAGUGUCUCAUCUACUGCAAUGAAGAAUAAAAGUUUUGGUCUGAA